ACCUUUACUAUUUAAUCCAUGUAAAGAAUGAAGAUAUUACCCAUACUUUGCUGCAACUUAUCCAAAAUAUAGUUAACUAAAUAUGCCUUAGCCCAUUUAGUACUACUAAAUUGUAAAUUUUGACAUAAUACAAUGCUGUUUUCUGACCAUCAGAAUUCUGUCAAAUCUUCCCCAAAGUCCAGGAAAUGGCAUUUCAGAGACUCUAAAUUUAAAAAUUUCCUUCGGCCCUCGCUUUCAGCCCCUCCCCAAUAAAAAAGAGCUUCCUACGGCCCUGAUAAAUAGUAAUUAUCACCCUUGUUGUAGUUGCUUAUACCUAUGCUUAUGUAGAUAAGGAAAAACUGGUCUGUCCGAUAUUGUCGUAUAUUGGGUUUUCGCUUUCUGAAUUAGAAAUUUGAACGAACUUCUGAUUUCGAAUAAU
rnacentral:lncRNA from 1 species